UAAAAACAAAUUGAAAGAAAAACCUAAUGCUCCCAACCCCCCCAUCUCUUCCUUUUCUCUUCAGCCGAAAAGGCCAUCGUCUGCUCACUCAAUCGUCGCCAUGGCCAGUGGCCGGCGCUGUGGAGAAUGAGCUUUUAAGCUCCAUCUUGAAAGACCCUCUCGAAGGCUAAACCUUCAGCAACCAAAGAGUGAGGAGAAAGGGAGUUCUCUGUCCCUUUGUCGAACCCGAUUACAACGACGGAGAAAUCACUCCGACGGCGAGAUCGAAAGGGAUUCAGGUGAGAGAUUUUUUUCUUCCUUUUUAGUUAGUUUUUUUGUUUAGACAGAUUUACAAAGAGAAAGAAAAAAAGAAAAUACAGUAAACAAAAAGAAAAAAAUGGAAAGAACCCAGAACACCUUUUUUAAUCUCUGUUUUUUUGCUUCGUAUUUGUAUUUCAAUGUGCGUAGUAUCGCGUAAAAAUUACAAUGGAUCCCUCCUUUGGCUUUAUAGCCGGAGAAAUAAAAUGAUCAAAAAAUGAAAAAUACAAUAUUCCUUGUUUUUGUUUCUUUCUUGCUGUGUGUUCGUCCUUUCUUUGUAGGUACAGGGUGCGUGGCGCUCAGGUACGGGGCUAUGCUGGCUGCUGAGAUGCUGGCAUCGUACGGAGGGUGGGCGUGGCGCGAUGUGGUUGAUGCUCGUGAAGGCUGCGGCGCGAGGACCCCUUUUGCCCUAGGGUUUGCCGAAACUUAGCUUGGCUUUCGGGCCGUUUGGGCUCGUUUUAAGUAUUGGGCUAAGUCAUUUUGUGAAUAGGCUUGUAACUUGGGUCUUGGGUCAUGUAAUCUGGACUUUGGACUGUGGUUAUUUAUUUAUUUUUAUUUUUGGUUUGUUUUUUUGUUUUUAUUUGUGUCGGGCAAAUUUGGCUCACUACACCUAUCACACGCUUGUGCAAGUGAAAGCUAAGUACUUAGAACACAAAUAUUAGUUUAAAAAUAGCAUAUAAUAAAUAAUAAAAUGUAUGGUUUGAAACUAAUUAAUCAUAAUAACAAAUGAAAUAUUUACGACAUUAAAAUUAAAAAAUUAGAUUAAAUUUUUAGUUAAACAAAAUUUAAAUGCAUAAAUACACAUCAUAUUAAGAAUACUAAAUGCAUUACAUUUGUUUAUCACAGUGUUGUCAUUAAUCGUGAGUUAAUGUCAAGUUGGCUUGAGACAUCAUCUCAAUUAACAACAUUAUCAAUAUACAAUUGAUGGAGGUGAUAAAGUUGCAUAAUAUAUGUAUUAAAAUGUAAAUAUUAUAUUAAAAUAAAGUUUUGGUUUAGCGGUAAAAUUAAUAUUUUUGUUGAUGCUAAUAGCAUGAGAACAAAUCCAUCAGCAUGUGAAUAUAUUUUUUGUUUAUUUUUUAAAGUAAAAAGACUAAAAUACCUUUGAAUAAAAUAACUUAAUUUAAUUACGGAAGAACAUUUUUGUAAUUGUACUAACUAAAUUGGUUCCUAAUUAACUCGUGAGAUUAACUCAGUUAAGAACAUAAAUAAUAGCAUAGAUAUUUUACUAAUUUCGCUCUUAUAUGGUGGCAUCGUAGAUCUACAAAUGAAAAACUUGGUCAAGCCACAAUUGGGACUUUGGAGGAGUUCUAAAAGAAGUUUAAAGAGCAAUUUUAUCUAGAAUAUGCCAAGAAGAAGGCUUAAGUUAAGUUGUGUUGGUUCUGGCAACAAGGCACAAUUAAGAUUAUGUAAAAGAGUUCAGUGAACUGAUGCUCCAAAUAGGCAUUCUUCAUUUCCAUGGUGGUUUGAAACCAUAAGCCAAAUAGGAAUUAGAAUACCAAUGGAUCCAAUAAUUGACCAAAGCUAUGAUCAUGAAAAAGUCAUUAAUCGGAUUUGUUUCUAGGAAAGACAAGUUCAAGUCUUCUAAGCAUAAAAAGAAGGGCAAUAGUGAAGGAGACCGUGAGGAGAAUAACAUAAAAAUGGCAAUAAUGACAAUGGUAAGAAUGGUAGUAAUGGGAAACCACAAAAUGAGAAGAAACCCAACAACCAUCAAAGGGGUAAAGAGAACGAAAAGAAGCCAAUAUAGUGCUUCUUAUGUUGCAGACCGCAUAUGAUGCAGGACUACCCAUAGCGGUUCAAGUUCAUCGAGAUCAAUAUAUAAGAGAAAGAGGAGCCUGAAGUGGUAGACUGUUAAAGCUUAGGUCAAUAAUAUUCAAAUUUACUAAAGAGAAGAGGGAUCACAAGUAAAGAGGCUUGAUGUUUGUAGACAUCAACAUUGCAUGUCAAAUAAUGAGUGCUUUUGUUGAUAUGAGGGCAAUAGACUUAUUCAUGCCGGAAAAAGUAGCAGGUAAACUUGGUCUCUCAAUUAGCAAAUUGACUAAGAAGAUUAAGACUGUUAAUUUGAAAUAGGCCCCAAUUGUGGGAGUAGAACAAUGAGUUGAGCUACAUAGUGGAGAUUGGAAAGGCAAUGAAGACUUUGAGGUGAUUCAUUUAGAUAAUUACGAUUUUUUUCUCAACUUGAAUUUUCUUGAAAGAUUAAUGUUUUAUUGGUUCCUUUCUCUAAUUGCAUAUAUAUAUGGGAUACUCCUCAACAACAAUACAUUGUGUCUGUGAGUUGUGAUAAGAAAUGUGGAACUAAAGUAUUGUUGGCAAUCCAACUAGUCGAGAAAGUUCAUUAUUGUAAGAACAUUGACUUGGUAGAUCAGAGUGUUAAGGAGACCCCCUGAAAAUGCUAGAGGUGCAACAAACUAAUAUGAAGCUUGUUGAGUUGUCAGUGGGGCUACCACUUAUGAGAGAAGUGGGUUGUGUAUCAAAUUGUGAGAAAAGUGGUGAUGCAAACUGGAUAGUUAAACAGAGUAAAUGCUAUGAGCAAGGUACAUCAAAAACACAUUCCUAGUGUUUUUCAUUAUGACUUACGAUUGGGUUGGCAAAGACACAAGGGCUUUUUAAAGUUUUGAAACGGGUAAGUCGAAGGGCUUAUAUACUAGAGUUGGCAGAAAUGCUCAAGGUUAACCCAAUGUUCAAUGUAGGCACGCCUAAGUCUAUUUGUGUGGGUUAAGGGAAUCUAGAUUGAGACAAGUCACAAUGGGGGCAAGUAAGAGUGGUGGGCUUUUAUAAUCGAGAUGUCUAGAAGAGAGAAACAAUUUUAGUUGGAUAACGCAAGAGACAUAAGCUAAAGUAAAUGUUUUAAGGGGUGAAACUACCCAACAUAGAGAUUAGUUGGGAAACGAUCGAGGCAUUGAGGCAGUUUUGAGACGAGUUAGACUAGUGUCAUUCUGAGGAUGCUACAAAGGCGUUACGAGAAUGGGUGGGGGAAAAUGUCAUGGGCCGAGUAUCAAAGCCCGUGAUAAAUACACAUAAAAUGCCCCAUGAAGGUCAACUGAUUAAAUGGGGCUCAUUUGAUCCACUUGAAUUGGCCUGAUUCAUUAAACAUAUAAAGAAACUCAUCUACUUUAAGCAUUGGUGGCCUAGUGUGUAACGGCCCAUUUUCAGUGAAAUCGGAAUAGUGAUUUCAAGACCACAAAUCCAAGGACAUAAAAAUUUGUUUUUAUAUUAUUUUUAUAUUAUUUCUUAACGAAAUUUUACUGUUUGUAAGCUCAAUUUAUGAAAUAGGACUAAAUCGCAUAAAGUGUGAAAGUUGUGUUCUACUAGGUAAAUGUGUUAAAUAGCUAUAGAACUUUAAAGUACAGGUCUUUAUUGAGUAAUUAGACCAUUAAUUGAGUUAGUGGAUGUACAUGGAGUGUAAUCAUGAAAUUUGUGAUGUUAGGUUGGUAUUAGGUAAUUAAAAGAUAAAAUAAUAAAAACAAAAUUUACCAACCCAUUUGCUUCAUCUUCUCCACCAAAAUUUUCAAUAAAGCAGGGGUUUUUGAAGCUUAAAAUUUCAGCAUUUAGUUCCCUUGUAUGUAAGUGAUUCUUUGACCCGUUUUUAUUAAUUUUUAUGCUUUCGGAACCAUUAUAGCUUAAUCUAGCUAAAUGGAAGAUUAAUUUGCAAUAUGGUUGAAAGUAUAGGGUUUUUCCAUGAGAGCUUUUAAUUUUUAUUGAAUUUUAAUGGAAGAAAAUGAAUCUUGAUUGUUAAAUAAACAACUUUUGUUAAGUAAGUUUUGUUGAAAUUGUCAGUUUGGGGCUAAAUAGAGAAAAGUAAAAAGUGUGUGUUAAAUAUGUGAAAUUGGGAAUUAUAUACGCUGCUAUGAGCUUCUAUAAAAUUUGGCUAGGCUUGGGUGUAGAGAAAUUUUCAUGAAUUUUAUUUUUAUGAGCCUAGGGACUAAUUUGUAAUGAAGUCAAAUGUUUUGGGAUAAAAUGGUAAUUUUGCCAUAACAUGAAAUUGGAUUGAAUUGAUUUGAAUAAGUAUUAAAUUAGUUAAAUUUUAUUAUAUAUAGAUCAAGAAAAGUCACGUUCAAAUUUAGAUCGGGGGAAAGACAAAGUAGUGGAUUAAUCGGUCGAUUAUCUCCGUACUAAUUUGAUGUAAGUUCGUAUGUUUAAUAAACAUUAAAUUAUAUGUGCUUUAAAUGCUUAAUUAGUAUAAUUGUGAUGAUACGACACCAUGGAAGUUCUUGACGAGGUACCGACAUUGUCUGAAUGUAACAACCCCUAUACCAUAUUCGACUUAAUGAACCUGAUAUAGGAAUAUUACAUUUAGUGCCAAAGUAAUUCUUAGCUAAUCACUAAUAUAUUAGAACAUAAAAACGGACACUUGGAAUAUACUUAAUAUUUUUCUUAAGUACAUGCCAUUCUAUUCAAAAUUUUAAAACAUACCCUGUUGUUGCUUGAAGAUGUGAUGAAAUGAGAGCUUGCAAAUCUCAAAAUUCAACUCUUCAAAAAUUCUUGUACCUAAUCUGCGCACGGAAACAAACCAUACACUGAGUAUACACCCAAUGGUAUUACUAUAAUUCAAAUACUUAAGGUAAAACAAUAUAUAUAUACACAUUAAAUCUUACCACUAUUUUACCUUUAAUAAAUCUUUCAUGCAUUUAAACUUUAAUUUUUACUAUAAUAAUAUGUAUUUUAAAUAGCUUUUCUUCAUUUUAAUUUAUAUAUAUUCUUACACAUCGAUAUCCAUUUCGUGCAUUUCAUCAAUAACCAUUUCAUAAAUCAUUAUUUCAUAAAUUUCAUUUCUAUACCUCAAUUCAAUAACUUAUUCUCAAGAAAAUAUUCAUUUCUAUUCAUAAACAAUCAAUAACAAUCAGUUGUUCAGUACUUUAAUAUAAUCAUUCAGUACUUUAAACUAGAGCUGAUCAUGGGCCGGACGGCCCGACCCGACCCGAAGGCCCGCUCGAAAAAUGGAAGGGUUUGGGUAAAAAUAUAGGCCCGAAAAAUGGGCUUGGGAAAAAAAACGAGGCCCGUUUUCGGGUAAGAGUUUUUUGGCCCGAGCCCUGCCCCGGCCCGGCCCGGCCCAAAUUAUAUAUUAAUUUAUUUUUUAAUUAUUUUAAAAUUUUAAUAUAACUAUUUUUUAUUAUAUUGUUAAUUUGUGUAUUAUUUUAAAAAUUGUUUUAGUAUUAUUUUUAUUUGUUUUAAUAUUUGUUUUUAUGUUUUUUAAAUAUAUUUGAUUUAUUAUAUUUUUAAAUUUUUUUAUUUAAUGAAAUAAGAAAAAAAAUUAAUAUGGGCCGGGCCGAGCCGGGCUGGGUUCGGGCUUAGUAAUUUUAUUUCGGGCCGGGCCCAAGCCUAGUAGACGUGCCUAAAAUUUUGUUUGAGCUCGGCCCGGCCCAUAAUCACCUCUACUUUAAACUUUAAAGCUUCAAAUUUCUAAUUUUUCCUUUUCUUUUCUUUUUCUCAUUUCUUUCUUCCUUUCCCGUUUUGCUCUCUGUAACUUUCUUUUUUUUUCUUUCAUGUUGCAUCUUUGUUUCUUUUAUAAUAUAUAUAUAUUAGUUUAUAUUGAUAGUUGUUUUUAUAAAAAUCUAUUUAAUAACAAAUAUAAUUAAUACAAUUGUACAAUCAUAUAAUUUACAUUUGUCUCUAUUUAAUUUGUUUACCUCAUAAAAAUCUUAUAAUUUAAUUAAUUGUCAAAUAAACAUAUUUUAUUUAAUAAUAAUAAAUAAUAAAUAUCUAUUUAAUUACUAAUAUUUGUAUUACAAAUGUUUUUAUUUUAAUUAAUACACAUGAAAUUUAUCUCAACCAUACAUUUGUCAUAAAUCUAAUUUAUUUAUCAACUAAAAAUCUCAUAUUGUAAUUAUUUAAUUAAUAAUUAUCUUUUUACUUAAUAAAUAUAAAUACUAAAUAUCUAUUUGCUAAUUAAUUAUUUAUAUUACAAUUGUAUACAUAUAUUUUCCUACAUUUGUCUAUUUUUAUCACCUUACACUUGUCAUAUUCUAAUUUAUUUUUCUAAUAUAAUAAGAUUAAAUAAUAAUAAUAAUAAUAAAACAACAAAAUUUCUAGACAUUUCCUUAUAUGCCGCCUCAACCUCCAAAUGUGGCUUAAUUUCCCAUUUGGUCCCUACUAUGUUCUUUUAAUCUAUUAUUAAACUGUACCCUUUACUCAAUUUAGUCAUUUUUACUAAUUACUCUAAAUUAAGCUAAAUUCAUCUAAUUUAAACCUAAUUAAACACAUCACUAGACUCAUAAAUAUUUCUAAUAAUUAUUUACGGACUCAUUUCACUAAAAUGGAGGCCCGAUAUUGCACUUUUUCGAUGCCCGUGAAUUUUGGGUCAUUACACUGAAUCCCGGUUGAACCUUAAGAAUAGAUAGGAUACAAAUGAUAUAUCAUUAGGGGUUACCGUGUUUUUAGGUGAUGGUCUUGUACGCCCUACCGGUGGCUGAGUUUUCCGUCAUGUGUUGCGGAUACUUUACAACUUGUGUGAGCAGCACUGUGUAGCCACGUCUUGACUUACAGCUUGUGUGAGCAGACCUAUUGAUGGCUCGAAAGUGAACAUCUCUAUAUGAGAUAUGAGAUAGUGGUGGUUUUGACCAUGUAUUGGCAUUUAGUGUGUGAGAUACCUGAGUAUCUGAUAGUAUUCCAAUUGGUUCAACGAAUAUAGUAAUAAUACGAAGUUAUACGAGUUCAAUACGAACUACUACAUAUAUUCAUGUGUAAUAUGGAAAGUAAUUUAAAUUGUUAAAUUUAUAUAUGGCUAAUAUGAUUGUGGUUAUGUGUUUGGCUUAGGGCUAAUUGGAAAUUACCUACGUUUUAAUUAUGCUUAUCUAAAUUGUGGAUGAAUGGUAAGUUAUAUUUUAGUUAAACGAACAUACUAAGCUUAAUUGCUUACUCUGUUUAUUGUUCAUGAUUUAUAGUAUUUCGGAAGCUCGCUCGGUUCAAAAUUGGUCGAAGAUUACGUCACACUAUCAAACAAUCAUUUUGGUACUUUAGACUUUAUAUUUUGGGUUAAAUGACGUGUAUAGGUAUUUUUGGCUAAUAUGGCCUAUAUGUCUUAUUGAGUUUUGGCCAUUUGAUUUGGUUUGUAAAUUGGUCAUAUAUUUUGGUAUGUCUAUAUAUAAAUGGCCUUACGACAUGUGGUGUGUAAUUGCUAUAUGAAUGUCGUGCUUGCAUAAAUGUGUUUUGGUACUAAAUGGUUGGAAUUGAGAUGAGUAUGCAUGCUAGGCUUUAGGCACAAUGUCUCAUAUAUGUAUUUGACCAUCUAGGUAGACUUUGAAAGUAUGUUUGAUAUGUGUUAAAGUGGUUAAGUGAAUUUUCUUAUGGAUAUCAUGUUGUAUGUAUGGAUAUUACAUGUUAUAAACUUGAUAUUGGUUGGUUUUGAAUACCUAUUUAUACUUUGGUUAUGUGGAAAUUGAUGUGUAUAGGUUGAUACCAAUAUGGGUGAAGAAUAUGGCUUGGAAAAUGACCUAUUUUUGUCCACAUGGGCAGAGACACAGGCGUGUGUCUCAAUCGUGUAUGACACACGGCCAGGUGACACGACCGUGUGUCCCAUGGUACUUCUAUAAAGACCAAGUCAGUAGCUUUACACAGGCAUGUGGCUUGACCGCGUGGCAGAAGUCAGUAUACCCUUCAGUUUUCGCACGGCUAGCACAUUGUUUGGCACAAGGGCGUGUGAGGCCAUUCCAAAGGGUACACAGCCUAGUACACGGGCAUGUGGUUGGCCGUGUGACCCCAUUUUGAAUGCCUACACAGCCUGGCCACACUGGCGUGUGUCCCCUGCAUUUUGAAAAAUUUCAAUAUUUUUUCUAAAAAUUUCUUGAGUACUUGGUUUAGUCCCAAACCACUUUUAAUGUCUAUUUGAGGCCUCGAGGGCUCGUAUUAGGAACUGUAUGAAUGUGUCUGAAUGGUUUUUUAUUUGAAUGGUAUUUGAUUAUGAAAUGUUUGAUUGUAUAAGUUAGAAGUCCAGUAAUGCUCCAUAACCCUGUUCCAGCAUCGUAUACGGGUUAGGGGUGUUACAUAGUGAAACACGCAAGUAAAACUAGAGUUACUAUGGUGAAUAUUGUAAAUCUUAAUAAAUAAGAUUAUUUAGAGUUUAAAUCUCUUAGGACUCUCAUAUUAUAGAUAAGCUUUUGUAGAGGCCCAAAUUUGCCCGGCCCAACAAAUUAAUAUCAAACCUAAAUCCUACCCAAUUCACAAACCCAAUUACAAAAUCAGACCCAAAACUAAGCCCAAAUAAUAAAAACCCUAGCCCAAUACAACCUAAACUUAUUUAAAAAAAAAAGAAGACAAAACCCUAGCCACCUUUCCUCCAACUUGCACCUACUCCACCACCUUGCCUCCCACUUGCACCUACUCCACCGCCUUGUCUCCCACUUGCACCUACACCAUCAAAUGGAGAAGAGACAUAGAAUGAUAAGAAAUGUAUGUAAGAUGGCUAUAAAAGCAAAACCAAAAGUCCAUUGUAAAGAAAAGAGGAGGAAAGAAUUGUAUUUUUGAAACGUUUUUUUGAUACAAAAAAAAGAGAAGAAUGUAAAAGCAAAAGGUUUGCAAGCAAAUCUGAAAUAAAAAAAGCGAGUAUUGAAGAAGAAAAGAUUCAAACGCGUUAAGGUUUUUAUUUCUUUUUUCCUUUUUAUUUUCACUUUUUUUGUACAUAUAAACAUUUUUUUCUUUUUUUCUUUUCUUUCAAAAAUAGUAUACAUAUAUUUAGAUAUAAAAAUAAAAAAGAAAACAAAAAAUAAUACAUUUUUUAAAUUUCGGCCACCGCGCACGGUGGUCGGCGACAGCGGCAAAGACGGAGAACGGCGCAAGUCCGGCGCCUGGGUACUGACCGGACCAUGGCCGGAAUGGGGAAAGAGGAAGAGAGUUGAGAGCUUUGUUUUAUUUUUUUUAUUUUAUUAUUUUUACUAUUAUUUAUAUUAUUAUUAUUUCUUAUGUAUAUAUUAUUAUUUAUAUUAUUAUAUUAUAUAUACCAUCUCAAUAUUUAUUUAUAUUAUUACUAUAAUUAUUGUUAUUUCUAUUAUUUUUUAUUUCUGACUACUAUUAUUAUAUAUAUAUGUAUUAUUGUUUGUAUUAUUAUUAUUAUUAUUAUCACCCCUAUUGUUAUUACUUUACUUUUGUAUUCUAAUAUAUUAUUAAUAUUACUCAUAUUUUCAUUAUUUUUGCUAUUACUAUUAUUAUUAUAUAUUAGUGUAUAUUUUUAUGUAUAUAUAUAUGUUUAUAUAUAGUAUUGUUUUUUAUUACUUUAAUUUAAUAUUUUUAUUAUAUUUGCUUUUUUUAUUUCUAUAUUUAUUAUUAUAUAGUAGUGUGUAUUUCUAUUAUAUACAUAUAUAUAUAUUUUUAUAUAUAGUAUUAUUAUUUACUUUACUUUAAUAUUAUUAUUAUCAUUAUAUCCAACCCAAUAAUAAUUCUUUCAUAAAAGUAAUAUUCCGUAUUUGGUAAUUCGAGACAAUCGUGCCCUAACUUAUUGGGUUUCGAUUUUUCUCCUUUAACCUAAAUAACGGAAUACUCUUUUAAAUCGCGACAUGAGUUUUGAAAAAUGCUUAUUCUCGGAGAUACGAGGUGUUGUGCCCUAACUUACCGGGUAUGGCAUUUUGUUACCUCGAAAUAAGAUUUUUGCAAGUAAAGGCAAUAUUCGGUGUUCGAAAAUUCGAGGAAACGUGCCCUAACUUACUGGGUUUCGAUUUUUCUCGUUCACCUUAACUAACUGAAUAACAUUUUGAAAUACACGAAUUUUUAUAUAAAAGGCAAGCUCGCUCUCAAAAAUUCAAGAUGUCGUGUCCUAACUUACUAAAUGUGACAUUUUAUAUUGUGAGACGAGAAGGUCUUUAACAUUUGAGCAUUUUCUUUACAAAGAGGGAUCGUAUUUUAAAUUCUUUCAAGUUUUCAAAUUUUCGACACUAAGACACUAAUUAAUCAACUAGGUACCAAUUUUGGGCGUAUCGAGGGUGCUAAUCCUUCCUCGUGCGUAACAGACUCCCGAACUCAUUUUCUGAUUUUCGUAGGCCAAAAAUUAUCGUUUUAGUAAAUCUUAACUUUUAUUAAAAUGAUUAAUUUAAGGUGAUCCGAUCACACCUCAUCAAAAAAGAUUGGUGGUGACUCCUCUAUUCGUUUUCAUUUCCAAAAAUCUAAGUCAAUUCCCGUUUUUUCAAAAAAAAAUGGUUACGACAGCUUGGCGACUCCACUGGGGACACCAAAUAAGAGAGUCAAGCCACAAGUUGAUUAACUUUUGUCUUUUUGUCAAAAAUUGAGAAUUUGGUUUUGAUAUAUGAUCCCUUCAUUGUAUUUCACCCGUUUUCCGUACGGUUUUCAUCAUUUUAUUCCCAUUUUCUUUAAUCGCUUCAAGUUUUUAUGCAUAUAUCCUCGCACAUUGCAUUGUAUGACCGUUGUGGUCACACUCUUUAAGUGGGAGUGAGAAACUAUUCCUUCGUGAGGUUUUCACCUCCGUGCAGGAUAGCGGAUUGCUUUCGGGAUACAUCCGUACCUAUGUCUUCGUGAGAUUUUUAUCUCCGUGCAGCCAUAGGGAAAUGUAUUCCCCUGAACUGAACUCGGUCCAUAAGAACCUAUAAUGGGUGAGGAUCGAUGAAUCUGCUGGUUCAGGUACCCUUCCUCUAGAACCAAACCACAUAUAGAGAGACCUAGGAGCCCACCCUAGGUAGAGCCACUCCAAACCCCUAGUGGUCACCCGAAUUGCUUUAUUUGUUAUUUAUUUAUCCUGUACUAACGUGUUUUAUUUUUGUUUUGUUUUACAAUUGCAUUGCAUUACAUCAUCAUAGGAAGGAGGUGUUGAUUCAUAUUUGAUUGCUAAAUAGAACAGUUUGUCAUAAGAAAACGAAUUUUUUUGAUAAAGUGGAUUAUAACACGGUUAUCUAAGUAUGGUCCAAGUGAACACAAUGAAAGAAGGCUGAUAGUCCGUGAAAAAAUACAAGACUUUGCUUCAUUGCUUGAGGAUACAAGCCGUCAAAGAUUGUUCAAGAGUCGUCACGUCUUAAAGGAGCUGACGAGUAUCGCAGGGACAAGUGAUCAAUAAGUCGCGGCCCAGAUCAAGCAAAAAGGAGUUAAUAUAGACAUCUCUUAGGGAAUUUGCAAGACUCGACCAUAAGAUCCGGAUGUGAAGAGGAAGAUAGGUGUCUUCGCUUGGAAUAUGAGAGAAAGGCCGUAUAUGUAGCCCGUUUUAUGUAAAGGAAUUUGUUUUCUAGAAAAGUUGUUCUAAUGAAAUUGAAUUCAGAAUCAAUGCCUUCCUUUCUUUUGCAUUCAUUUCAUGCAUUUGCAUUGCAUUGCAUUAUUUGCAUUAAGCUUUCCCUAAAAAAACCCUAAAAAUCAUGGCAGUUACCUUGGAACAUCGUUACGGUACAAGGGGAAGAACAAGAGCAAUGGACCAAAGGUUAGAGAGAUUGGAACAAAUACAAAAAGAGAUGCAGGAUCAAUUACAAACACAUAUACAAGAACAGCUUGCCAAAAUCUAGCAAGAUAUGAGGGACCAUAUGUUGGAGUCCCAGAAAAGCAUGAUGGACCAAUUAACUCGUUUAUUGGCGGGCGAGAAAAGCCCUUUGAUCAAUGCUGGAGAAGAUAAUGAAGAUCCUACCUACCCUCCGGGUUUUGCCCCAGCGGACGUUUAUACAUAACUUGACAUGUACCUAGGAAGGCCAUCAGUCACCAUUAGGCCCCAACCAUUUCAGGCCGGUGUUUCGGUACCGAUGAAUUAUCAGGCUGGCUCGGGCUCUAAUCCGGGGGACAACCCAACCAACCCUGUGGUCCUCAAUCUCGAUGAAGUAACAGAAGCAGAAAAGACAAGGGUAGAACUUCUAAGAGAGCUUGAAGAAAGGUGUAGAUGGUUAGAAGAAAAAUUUAAAGAAAUGGAAAGCACUGUCUAUCGUGGUGGAAUCGACGCUAAAGAAUUAAGUUUGGUUCCGGACCUAGUACUCCCUCCCAAGUUCAAAACUCUGGAAUUUGAGAAAUACAAUAGGACUAGCUGUCCCGAAGCUCACAUCACUAUGUUCUGCAGACGAAUGGCAGGCCAUGUCAACAAUGACCAACUAUUAAUUCACUGCUUCCAAGAAAGUCUGGUUGGGGCCGCUUCUAGAUGGUACAACCAACUGAGUCGCGCCCAGAUCAGUUCAUGGAAAAAUUUAGCACAAGCCUUCAUGAAGCAGUACGGUCAUGUGGCAGACAUAGCUCCUGAUAGAAUCACUUUACAGAAUAUGGAGAAAAAACAUAAUGAGAGCUUUAGGCAGUACGCCCAGCGAUGGAGAGAGGUGGCCAUACAAGUCCAACCCCCUCUGUUGGCAAAGGAAACCACUAUGCUCUUCAUUAAUACCCUGAAUGCACAUUUUAUUAACCACAUGCUGGGUAGCCCAACCAAGAGUUUUUCGAACAUAGUAAUGUCUGGAGAAAUGAUAGAAAAUGCCAUAAGAUGUGGGAAAUUAGAGUAUGGGGAAAACGCUAUGAGGUCAGCGCCGAGAAAGAAAGAGCACGAUGUGAAUAAUAUGAGCUCAUAUUCGAAAUCGAUCACCAUAAGCCAACCAAGGUCGACAACUACUGGACAACAGGACCCACCCAGACAAGAGCCUAACACAAAACAAAAUAGGGAGAAACUUUAAUUUACGCCCAUUCCAAUGACAUACAAGGAGUUAUACCAGAGUUUAUUUGAUGCAAAUGUCGUGUCUCCCUUCUAUCUAAAACCAAUGCAACCUCCAUACCCCAAAUGGUAUGACGCAAAUGUCCAAUGCGAAUACCAUGCGGGAGCCACAGGACACUCGAUAGAAAACUGUACCACUUUCAAGAAAUUGGUUGAAAGACUCGUCAACAUGGGGAUUGUGAAAUUUGAUGAUACAUCCAGUGCAGAGAAUUCAUUACCUAACCAUGGGGAUAAGGGAAUAAAUGUGAUAACUGAGAGUUAGGGGAAAGAAAUUAAGAUGAAUAUUGCAGAAAUGAAUACCCCGUUGGAGGAAGUUUAGAAGAAAAUGGUGGAAAGAGGGUUGAUAGCACAGAAUUCAAAGGUCAGACCUCGAGAAGUGAAGAAUUACUGCGAGUUCUAUGUCCAAGAGGAUCACGAGAUUCAGAUAUGCAGCCAAUUCAGGGCUUUAGUACAAGGAUUGAUGGAUAAUAAGGAGCUGGAAUUCUUCGAAUAUGUCGGGAGCCCAGAAAAAACAGAUGUGUGUGCCUCCGAAGAGGGAUUAAUGAAGGAUGUUUACAAAGUCAACCACCCAGUGGUUAUCAUAUCACAUCCGAAAAUAAAUGAAGCCGGGGCACAAGUUGCGCCAAAGGUCGUGAUCCAAAAGCCCGUUAUUUUCCCUUAUAAAGAUAGCAAAAGGGUACCGUGGAACUAUAGCUGCAAUGUGACAUUCCCGGGAGAGGAGACCCUGAUUAAUGUAUCAGAAAAAGUUCAAGACGAGGGUUUUUAUACGCGUAGUGGAAGGCGUUAUACCCCAAAUACAAAAGUCGAACAGGUUAAAGAAAAAUCAUUAGCAAUUAAGCAAAAGAAAGAGAGGCCGGCAGGGCCUGAACCAACUGUUAAUGAAUCAGUGACUGAAAAAAAAGUCAAGGAAUUCUUAAAAUUUCUAAAGCACAGUGAAUAUAGUGUCGUAGAACAGUUGCACAAAUAGUCAGCGCGUAUAUCGGUACUGGCCUUACUUUUAAGCUCCGAAACCCAUCGCAGCGCAUUGAUGAAGGUGCUGAAUGAAACUUUUGUUGCUAACGAUAUCUCUGUAAACAAACUGGACCGCUUAGUCAACAAUAUAAGUGCCGACAACUUCAUAUUCUUCAAUGACGAUGAGGUACCGCCAGGGGGCCGAGGAUCAACUAAAGCUUUGCACAUCACGACUCGCUGUAAAGGGUACACAUUACCGGGGGUAUUGAUUGACAAUGGGUCUGCGCUGAAUGUCCUACCCCUAUCUACGCUGAGUAGGUUGCCAGUAGAUAGUUCCCAUAUGAAGACAUGCCAAAGUGUAGUUAGAGCAUUUGAUAGCACGGAAAGGAAGGUAAUGGGGAGAAUUGAAGUACCCCUCUUAAUCGAGCCGAGCACUUACGAGGUAGAUUUCUUGGUCAUGGACAUUAAGCCUUCGUAUAAUUGCCUAUUGGGGUGACCAUGGAUACACUCGGCAGGGGCAGUCCCUUCAUCGCUGCACAAAAAGUUGAAAUUAGUGACCGAAGGUCGGUUAGUAACGAUCAAUGCUGAAAAGGACAUCAUCGCGGCGAUAACCAGUGAUGCCCCAUAUCUGGAGGCAAAUGAUGAAGCAAUUGAGUACUCUUUUCGAUCUUUGGAGUUUGUGAACGCAACGUUCAUCACUGAAGGAAAUAAGAUUCCAAUGCCCAGGUUAUCUGAGACUACAAGAAUGAGACUACGACUAAUUGUUGGAAAAUGAGCUCUACCCAGAAGAGAACUC
rnacentral:lncRNA from 1 species